rnacentral:misc_RNA from 1 species
CGCACAUUGCGCCCCUUGGUAUUCCGGGGGGCAUGCCUGUUCGAGCGUCAUUUCAACCCUCAAGCUCUGCUUGGUAUUGGGCGUUACCGGUAGCGGUUCGCCUUAAAAUUAGUGGCGGUGCUAAUGAGCUCUACGCGUAGUAAUAUUUCUCGCGAUUGGGUUUCAGUAGAUAUCUGCUAAGCUUUUAUCUUUUAGUGGUUGACCUCGGAUCAGGUAGGGAUACCCGCUGAACUUAA